UACGUAGGGGGCAAGCGUUAUCCGGAUUUACUGGGUGUAAAGGGAGCGUAGGUGGCUUGGUAAGUCAGAAGUGAAAGCCCAGAGCUCAACUCUGGGACUGCUUUUGAAACUAUCAAGCUAGAGUGCAGGAGAGGUAAGUGGAAUUCCUAGUGUAGCGGUGAAAUGCGUAGAUAUUAGGAGGAACACCAGUGGCGAAGGCGGCUUACUGGACUGUAACUGACACUGAGGCUCGAAAGCGUGGGGAGCAAACAGG
rnacentral:rRNA from 1 species